rnacentral:rRNA from 1 species
AUACGGAGGGUGCAAGCGUUACUCGGAAUCACUGGGCGUAAAGGACGCGUAGGCGGGAUGCCAAGUCUGAUGUGAAAUCCUACAGCUCAACUGUAGAACUGCAUUGGAAACUGGUAACCUCGAGUAUGGGAGGGGGAGAUGGAAUUAGUGGUGUAGGGGUAAAAUCCGUAGAUAUCACUAGGAAUACCUAAAGCGAAGGCGAUCUCCUGGAACAAUACUGACGCUAAGGCGUGAAAGCGUGGGGAGCAAACGGGAUUAGAAACCCCUGUAGUCC